GUGUGGCUCAGUAUAGGCUAAAAGCUUUCCUAAUAGAUAAUGCGUUCUGCAGGGGCACCUGGAGAAGAAGAAGAGGCAGCUUUGAACCUUGGAGUGGUAUUUGCUCUCUGCAUGAUGGGCAGUUAAUGGCCAAAAUCAGCACUUGGUGUAGUGGAUAAGGAGGUGUGGCCCAAAGAAACAAUAAAUGAUGAAUUGAUUGAACUAGAUAUGUAAGUUGAAGUCAGAACAAGAUGUGCUGUCUCCUCAAUACCCCUACAUUCACUUGUUAGAUAAAAGGCUCAAUAUAGGAUUAUUCAGGGAGAAUAAUCACUAGCAGGUGAUGCUUGUUAUAACAUAGAACAAGCUACCUGUGUUUGGGAUAUAACAGAGUGGUUGCAGGUGUGGGUGUGUUGAGCAUGGUUAGCUGUUUGGCUUCACCUGGGAGGCUUUGGAGGAGGUUUGUGGUGGCUUCUGGGUGGAUGCAAGUUGGCUCCUGCUGGAAGCGGGUUUUCCCAAAGAGAAGUUGCUUUGAGCUUUGUGUCUGAAAGAGGAGGGCUUCUUCCAUAGGGGCUCUACAAGGAAGACUGGUGGUCUCAGCCCCCUGCCUAUGGAUUAGAAGCAGCUGCGAGGAGUGAUGCCCAGGGCUGGACUUCUGGAGGAGCUAAGGCUUCUGGAUUGUGCGUACACUUGUAUUCACUUCCCGUUAACUUCUUGAACACACUUGAUGAGACCCAGUCCGAGCGAGGCCCUCCAGCAGUGAUGAUCAGCCUUUCAUUCCACCCGGGCAGUGAGGAUUGCUCCAGGGGUUGGGCAGAGGCCCCGAGCCCCAUUGGCUACAUCCUGCUCAAUAACCCACAUCGAUUCUACACAGCCCUGGUUGAAAGCAGGGCAAUCUGCAGGAAAGCAGUUGGGCUGAAGCGUGUGAAAUAACGCUUGGAAAGGUCACUUUCCAUCUCAGGGAGAGGGUUCCUGACUUCAGGAGGAGUUGUGGACCAGCUGGUAGGGGCGGU
rnacentral:lncRNA from 1 species